GGGGUUGUGGCUCAGUGGUAGAGCGCUCACCUAGCACGCGCGAGGCCCUGAGUUUGAUCCUCAGCACCA
rnacentral:tRNA from 1 species